rnacentral:rRNA from 1 species
UACGUAGGGCGCAAGCGUUAUCCGGAAUUAUUGGGCGUAAAGGGCUCGUAGGCGGUUUGUCGCGUCGGGAGUGAAAUCCACUGGCUUAACUGGUGGCUUGCUUUCGAUACGGGCAGACUGGAGGUAUGCAGGGGAGAACGGAAUUCCUGGUGUAGCGGUGAAAUGCGCAGAUAUCAGGAGGAACACCGGUGGCGAAGGCGGUUCUCUGGGCAUGUCCUGACGCUGAGGAGCGAAAGUGUGGGGAGCAAACAGG